rnacentral:lncRNA from 1 species
UCACUCAACAAGUUUUGCAAAUAAUGCAUUUCAGAAAAAGGUUUCACCAAUAUAUGCUCAGUUCUAAACAGCUCAAUUGCAUUGCUACUCAAAGAAACUCUUAUAGAAGAGUUAAAUUCACAAAACUCAUCAAAUAGAAAACCUUUUGACUUAAAGAACUUUUCAAGUUUGAGAGUUUCAAAAGUUGGAAUUAUUUUGUCAAAAACAGUUUUUG